UGACCUCGGAUCAGGUAGGGAUACCCGCUGAACUUAAGCAUAUCAAUAAGCAGA
rnacentral:rRNA from 1 species